rnacentral:tRNA from 1 species
GCUGAGGUAGCCAAGCCUGGAUCACGGCGAUAGCCUGGAAAUCGGUUUGGCCAAAGUUCGAAUCUCAUCCUCAGCGCCA